GCGCAUUGUGUCAGCACCUUAGAG
rnacentral:siRNA from 1 species